UGAUCGCGAUUAAAUAAGAAGUGAAUCUGGACCGUUCAUCGCAAUCCAAUUUAGGCCGUCUAUCGUGAUCUAAUAUGAACCAUUCGAUCGCAUUUGAAUCUAGCCGUUCAAUCGUAUUUGGGAACGAGUGCAUCCAGGCCGUCUGUGCGUGCGGGAACAAACCUGAGUCGUUCGAUCGCGAGCAUGUAGAUCACCCGUGUGGCUCCCCGGGUGGCACUGCAUCAGUCCCCGUUUCCACGUGGUGCAUUCUGUUUCGUCAGGACUGCUGACCGAGCAUCCUACAUGGUAAUUUUUUUUUCUGAAUUACGUUUUAACCACUGAUUUCUGAUUUUUCUUUCAAAAAUACAUCUAGAACCUAAAU
rnacentral:lncRNA from 1 species